rnacentral:rRNA from 1 species
UACGUAGGGCGCAAGCGUUAUCCGGAAUUAUUGGGCGUAAAGAGCUCGUAGGCGGUUUGUCGCGUCUGCCGGUGAAAAGUCCGGGGCUCAACUCCGGAUCUGCGGUGGGUACGGGCAGACUAGAGUGCGGUAGGGGAGACUGGAAUUCCUGGUGUAGCGGUGAAAUGCGCAGAUAUCAGGAGGAACACCGGUGGCGAAGGCGGGUCUCUGGGCCGUAACUGACGCUGAGGACGAAAGCGUGGGGAGCGAACAGG